rnacentral:rRNA from 1 species
CGGGGAGAGUGGCGCACGGGUGAGUAACACGUAGCUGACCUACCCUUCACCGGGGGAUAACCUGUCGAAAGACGGGCUAAUACCGCGUACGCUCGUCGAGGUUAGAGGCUCGACGAGGAAAGCAUUGGCAGUGGUGAAGGCGGGGGCUGCGGGCCAUCAGCUAGUUGGUGAGGUAACGGCUCACCAAGGCGACGACGGUUAGGGGGCCUGAGAGGGUGACCCCCCACACUGGCACUGAGAUACGGGCCAG